rnacentral:rRNA from 1 species
AUUGAACGCUGGCGGCAUGCUUUACACAUGCAAGUCGAACGGUAACAGGCCUUCGGGCGCUGACGAGUGGCGAACGGGUGAGUAAUGCAUCGGAACGUGCCCAGUCGUGGGGGAUAACUAUCCGAAAGGAUAGCUAAUACCGCAUACGAUCUGCGGAUGAAAGCGGGGGACCUUCGGGCCUCGCGCGAUUGGAGCGGCCGAUAUCAGAUUAGGUAGUUGGUGGGGUAAAGGCUCACCAAGCCAACGAUCUGUAGCUGGUCUGAGAGGACGACCAGCCACACUGGGACUGAGACACGGCCCAGACUCCUACGGGAGGCAGCAGUGGGGAAUUUUGGACAAUGGGCGCAAGCCUGAUCCAGCAAUGCCGCGUGCAGGAAGAAGGCCUUCGGGUUGUAAACUGCUUUUGUACGGAACGAAACGGCUCUGGUUAAUACCCGGGGCUAAUGACGGUACCGUAAGAAUAAGCACCGGCUAACUUCGUGCCAGCCGCCGCAGUAACAC